rnacentral:rRNA from 1 species
GAUCCUGGCUCAGGACGAACGCUGGCGGCGCGCCUAACACAUGCAAGUCGAGGGGAAACGACAUCGAAAGCUUGCUUUUGAUGGGUGUCGACCGGCGCACGGGUGAGUAACGCGUAUCCAACCUGCCCACCACUUGGGGAUAACCUUGCGAAAGUAAGACUAAUACCCAAUGAUAUCUCUAGAAGACAUCUGAAAGAGAUUAAAGAUUCAUCGGUGAUGGAUGGGGAUGCGU